rnacentral:rRNA from 1 species
CAGUAGCCGCGGGAAUACGAGGGGGGCAAGCGUUGUUCGGAAUUAUUGGGCGUAAAGGGUGCGUAGGCGGUUCAGCAAGUCUCGUGUGAAAUCUUCGGGCUCAACCCGAAGUCUGCACGGGAAACUACUGGGCUUGAGUAAUGGAGAGGUGAGUGGAAUUUCCGGUGUAGCGGUGAAAUGCGUAGAUAUCGGAAGGAACACCUGUGGCGAAAGCGGCUCACUGGACAUUUACUGACGUUGAUGCACGAAAGCUAGGGGAGCAAACAGGAUUAGAUACCCCCGUAGUCCCUGUUUCUUAUAC